rnacentral:rRNA from 1 species
UGGGGAAUAUUGCACAAUGGGCGCAAGCCUGAUGCAGCCAUGCCGCGUGUGUGAAGAAGGCCUUCGGGUUGUAAAGCACUUUCAGCGAGGAGGAAGGUGGUGAGCUUAAUACGCUCAUCAAUUGACGUUACUCGCAGAAGAAGCACCGGCUAACUCCGUGCCAGCAGCCGCGGUAAUACGGAGGGUGCAAGCGUUAAUCGGAAUUACUGGGCGUAAAGCGCACGCAGGCGGUUUGUUAAGUCAGAUGUGAAAUCCCCCGGGGCUCAACCUGGGAACUGCAUUUGAAACUGGCAAGCUAGAGUCUCGUAGAGGGGGGUAGAAUUCCAGGUNUAGCGGUGAAAUGCGUAGAGAUCUGGAGGAAUACCGGUGGCGAAGGCGGCCCCCUGGACGAAGACUGACGCUCAGGUGCGAAAGCGUGGGGCAGCAAACAGGAUUAGAUA